rfam:Capsicum annuum cultivar Zunla-1 chromosome 11, whole genome shotgun sequence
ACCUCAUGAUUUUGGCAUUGGGCUAAAUUUUCAUUAAACCUCUCCCAAGCAUCAAAUAAUGGUUCUCCAUUUAUUUGUCGAAAAUUCACAAUUUCAUCCCUUUUUUGAAGCA